UUCUAGUGUUGAUGCUUGUGAGGGCUGGGAGGCAAUUCAGCUUUUCUCUCUGACUUGGGUGGGAACUCCUCAACUGAAGCAUUUGCUGUGGUGUGCCAAAAUCCAAAACCUGCAAGCGGUGGAAGCUAUCUGCUCUGCUUUGUUUUCACGUGCUUUGCCAAGCUGAAGGCUUCAGGUCUACUCACUCAUAGGUUGCUACUGAGCAAAUAGAACCAGAGAGAUGUAUCCAAUGAAGGUUAAUGUUUAGUCCAGAACUGGCAUGUUAUGCAUGAGCCCUGACUGGAUCCACUAAUUCAGAAUUUAGAACCUUAUUUUCAGUUGGUGCUGAAAACUGGGAAUCUGUGGAAACUUUCUGCUGCCAGAGAAGAACUUCUGAUAAGACGUUGGUAUGAAGCUGCUGGAUAGCCAGAACAAUAUCUAAGUGAAAUAAUAACAUAUGUGUGUUGAACGGACACUAUGCAAAAAAUACACUGUUUGGAAAAUCACUGAUGCAAGAA